ensembl:lncRNA STX18-AS1 STX18 antisense RNA 1 (head to head)
GCUCUCGGGCAUCGGUUUCUCCCAGCAAAGCUUGGAGGGUUUAGCUGCGCGGAGAGCUCAGCGAGCUCUUCUGUGUCUGUUUGGGGCGUGUGGGCUCCGGGAGCGUGAGGACCGGGAAGCUAGGAGGCUCCUUCCCUUCUGGCGGCUCCCUCACUGAGACCGGGCGGUUUGGUUGCGGGGGAAGUGGAGACGAGCCACCCUUGACCUUUGACUGCAAGAACUCACCUUGAGCAGGAUAGAGGCACGUGGACGGUGACCCUCGGGAUGCAAUAAAUGCUGAGACAGAUCAGGUGUGCAAGGCACAGAGCUAGAGGCCAGAGGCCUUUCUUCUCCAACCUUCAGUCACCUCUUUUUAAAGUGAAGCCAGCAUCCUCCUCGGGGUUUACUGUGAAAAUUAAGUGAGCUGACGCGUGCUGUGUUUUGAUGUUGCUUGGCUCCUACAAACAUUGAGUGGGCCAGACACUGUUCUGAAAAAUACGCAGUCGACUUUUGAACAGCACAGGCUUGAACUGCAUGCGGCCACUAAUACUCGGACUUCCUUCUGCCUCUGCCAUCCCUAAGACAGCAAGACCCACCCCUCCUGCUCCUCAGCCUACUCGAUGUGAUGAUGGGGCUUACCUUGGAGAAUGGCACCACCGUCUCAUCAGUUACUCAAGCCAUGAACCUGCUGCCAUAUUUGAGUCUUUCCCCUCCCUCGGAGCCUACAUCCGACUGCUCAGUGGUGUCUCGUGUCGUCCUUAUUUUGUCACUUGACAAGCAUUGGCUGAGUCCCUGCUGUGUGCCCUGCACUGCACUGGACAUUCAGAGUACAACACAGUCCCUAUAAUCAGGCUCUUGCAAUCCCGAGGGAUCAAGAUGCAAAGAUCGUUGAGUCCAUCAGCCCUACACCCUGCAUCUCCUGCUAUGGGAGCAGAGUGGGAAGGACACCAAGGCUUACAGAGGCUGUGCGCAAUCACGUGGCGUCAGCAGCAGAGCCCCGUGCCCAGGCACCUGGAAAUUGCAUCCAUCCCUGGACUGUGGUGGGUCCAUGGGGCUCAGGGUGGGGAUGGGGCUCCUUCCCGGACUUCACAGGGGUGGGCUCAGCCACCCCCGUGGGCUGUUUCAGCUCCAGCAUUCUCUGGGCCAAGAUUAAACGUUAAUUUGUAAUGGGGUCUGCUGAAGGUAUCUUCGGUUGCAGCCUCGAGGCAGAUUACUCCGGAAUCUCAGUGGAAUGAAUCAGAGGCCUGCUUUUGGCAGUAAGCAUCUGAAGCUUAACCAGGGAAAGAUGACAAUUUAUGCUGCGUCGAAGAGGACGAUAGCUUUCUUGUUUUACUGCCAGAAGAACACCAUGGGGUAGGGAUCUGAAGAUGGAAAACCAACGCUGUGUCGGCUGGAAAACUUUUGUUUUUAUUUAUGAGACUGAUUUGUAUAUGUUAAGGCCAAUUGGUAGAAAUUGGCCCAUUUGCAAAUUGGCAGACAGAGAAAAAUCUUGAUUUAGGACUAAAAGCAACGAAGCUAAGACAAUAAAAAGAGAAUCAUGUUCAUUAAGUUAAAAAAGCAGACUCCUAUUCAAGCUUUUUUUCCCUUAAAUUCUUAACUUCUCUAAUUGCAAAUGAGUUUGAGAUAGUUUACAGAGACGCAAUAUAAUAGGAUAAAAAUAAAUAGAUUAAGAAAUCAGGACAAAGGGAAAAUAAAGAAAGGAUAAUAGAAUAAAGCCAGAGAAAGAUAAUAAACAGAACUAUAUAUGAUACUCUUGGGAACAUUAAAAAUAAUAUUUAAAAAACUUUUAAAUUGAGGUAUAACGUGCAUAUAAGUAAGAAAGUCUUAAGUGUUUAGCUAGCUCAAUGAAGCUUGUGGCCCAAAAUUACCUGAGACAGGUCUCAACCAACUUAGAAAGUUUAUUUUGCCAAGGUUAACAGCCUCAGGAGGUCCUGACGACAUGUGUCCAUGAUGGUCCGGGUACGGCUUGCUUUUAUACAUUUUAGGGAGACAUAAUACAUCAAUCAAUACAUGUAAGAUUUACAUUGGUUUGAUCUGGAAGGAGGGUACAAUUUCAACUGGGAUGGGGGGCACUUCCUGGUCAUAGGUAGAUUUAAAAUGUUUCUACCUGGCAAUUGGUUGAAAGAGUUACUAUCAAUAGAAAGGAAUGUGUGGGUUAUACUAAGGGGUUGCGAAGGCCAAGGCUUUAUCAUGCAGCUGAAGCCUCCAAGUAGCAGGCUUCAGAGAGAAGAGUUUGUAAAUGUUUCUUGUCAGACCUAAGGUCUGUGUUGAUGAUAAUGCUGGAGGGUAGAUGAGGCAGGUCCGAUCCUCUCUUCCAUCGUGUCCUGAACUCGUUUUUCAGGUUGACUCUGGAAUGGCCUUGGCCAAGAGGAGGGGUCCCCAUUCACAUGGUUGAUGGGAGGCCUUAGAAUUUUAGUUUUGGUUUACAGGUUUUACAUGUGUGGCCAACAGGUGACCACCACCAAUAAAGAUAUAGAACCCUUGUAGAUUCUAUUAGGCUUCCCCUUCUCAUCAGCACCUCAGAAGAGGUGGCCACUACUCCAACUUUUCUCACCAUAUAUUAGUUCUGCCUGCUCUUAAGCCUUCAUGUAAAUUGGAUUACAUGGUAAAUACUCCUUUGUAUCUAUCUCCCUUCACUAUUACAUCUGUGAGUUUCACUCACGUUAUUGUAGGCAGCUGUACCCUCCUCUCCCUCACUGCUGCAUAGUACUCUUUAUAUCUCAUGUGAAGGACUUAUCCAUUCUACUGGUGAGGGAAAUGUGGGCCAUUUCUACUUUUUGGCUUUAUACAUGAAGGUGCUGUGAACAUUCUUAGGCAUGUGGUAUGGUUUGGAUCUACGUCCCCACCCAAAUCUCAUGUUCAAUUGUAAUGCCCAGUGUUGGAGAUGGGGCCUGGUGGAAGGUGAUUAGAUCAUGGGGGUAGAGUUCUCAUGAAUGGUUUGGCACCAUCCCCCACUUGGUACUGUAUAGUGAGUGAGUUCUCACUGGGAUCUGGUUGUAAAAGUGUGUGGCACCUCCCCCCACCUAAUCCCCCACUUUUCUCCUGCUCUGGUAAUGUAAAGUGCUGGCUUCCCCUUCACCUUCCACCAUGAUUGUAAGUUUCCUGAGGUCUUCCCAGAAGCAGAUGCUGCCAUGUUGCCUGUACAGACUGCAG